CGGGGAUCGGAGGGAUCAUUACCGAGUUUACAACUCCCCAAACCCCUGUGAACAUACCACUUGUUGCCUCGGCGGAUCAGCCCGCUCCCGGUAAAACGGGACGGCCCGCCUAGAGGACCCCUAAACUCUGUUUCUAUAUGUAACUUCUGAGUAAAACCAUAAAUAAAUCAAAACUUUCAACAACGGAUCUCUUGGUUCUGGCAUCGAUGAAGAACGCAGCAAAAUGCGAUAAGUAAUGUGAAUUGCAGAAUUCAGUGAAUCAUCGAAUCUUUGAACGCACAUUGCGCCCGCCAGUAUUCUGGCGGGCGUGCCUGUUCGAGCGUCGUUUCAACCCUCAAGCACAGCUUGGUGUUGGGACUCGCGUUAAUUCGCGUUCCUCAAAUUGAUUGGCGGUCACGUCGAGCUUCCAUAGCGUAGUAGUAAAACCCUCGUUACUGGUAAUCGUCGCGGCCACGCCGUUAAACCCCAACUUCUGAAUGUGACCUCGGAUCAGGUAGGAUGCCCGGUC
rnacentral:rRNA from 1 species